UACGAAGGGGGCUAGCGUUGCUCGGAAUUACUGGGCGUAAAGCGCACGUAGGCGGCUUCUUAAGUCGGUGGUGAAAUCCUGGAGCUCAACUCCGGAAAUGCCAUUGAAACUGUGAAACUUGAGGAUGAGAGAGGUGAGUGGAGUUCCCAGUGUAGAGGUGAAAUUCGUAGAUAUUGGGAAGAACACCGGUGGCGAAGGCGGCUCACUGGCUCAUUACUGACGCUCAGGCGCGACAGCGUGGGGAUCAAACAGG
rnacentral:rRNA from 1 species